rnacentral:lncRNA from 1 species
AAAGAAACGUCCACAGCUCAGCAAGCCAGCACCUGGACUGUAUAACGAAAAGACACGGAAUUCCACAGUUUCGCAAGUACUCAGAUCCCAAUCUGAAGGGGAAGUACUGUCCUCACCUUCAAACUAUUUAAAAACAGAUCAAGUUUGCUGAGAUUUUAACAGGAAAUUCUUACAAGAUAGUGCCCUUCUGAAAUUGCCCUGAUCUUCAGGAAUAUGAAGGAAGCAUAUAUAAGUACAACAAAAAUACAUUUUAGUCAAAGGCUGAAUGGCAGAGUAUUUAAAUCAAAAUUUAACCACGACAUGAAGGACCAUGAUUUUGAAAUAGCUCCUUAAAAGACUGAUGAAGCCUUUAAUCAUUUGUCUAGAUGGAGGAGGUAAAUGGGCCUGCCGCAGGGUCUCUAGGUCAUGCCAUCAUCUGCUAGCUCCAGUGUUCAGAGCUAAAUGAGGAACGUUCAUAAUUGAUAGCACAAGUGUAAAUAAUUCCACAUACUACUGGCUUCCCAAAACCUCUUAAUUAUAGAUAUGGAGGUUUGUUGCAUCUUAUUAAAUGUUUAAAUAACUAUUAAGAUUAUUUAUGUCCCAUGUAUGAUAAUAAAAUAACACAAUUAAAUGUGUGUUUAAAUAUUACCAUAAAACUUUAAGCCCAUUAACAUACAUAAGGGAAUAUAUUAUAUAAAAAUAUAUAUCAUGACAUGUAUACUUCAAAUAAAUAGGAUACAUAAAUAAAAUUAUGACGUACA